GUAAGGAAUAUUGGUCAAUGGACGAAAGUCUGAACCAGCCAUGCCGCGUGGAGGAUGAAGGUCCUCUGGAUUGUAAACUUCUUUUAUAUGGGACGAAAAUGGGGCUUUCUAGCUCAACUGACGGUACCAUAUGAAUAAGCACCGGCUAACUCCGUGCCAGCAGCCGCGGUAAUACGGAGGGUGCAAGCGUUCUCCGGAUUCACUGGGUUUAAAGGGUGCGUAGGUGGAUUUGUAAGUCAGAGGUGAAAUCUCCGGGCUCAACUCGGAAACUGCCUUUGAUACUAUCAAUCUUGAAUAGUGUGGAGGUUAGCGGAAUAUGUCAUGUAGCGGUGAAAUGCUUAGAUAUGACAUAGAACACCAAUUGCGAAGGCAGCUGGCUACACAUAUAUUGACACUGAGGCACGAAAGCGUGGGGAUCAAACAGGAUUAGAUACCCUUGUAGUCC
rnacentral:rRNA from 1 species